rnacentral:lncRNA from 1 species
GAGAGAGAGAAUUGUUUUUCUGAGUUUUCUGCUCGUAACGAGAGUGGUGGAUUAAUGCACCAAAUGCUUCUAGAACCUAAAAUGAUUUUCAUAGAGGGGAUGCUUGGAACUGAUAUGCUAGGUGUAGUUACUGGGAUGUUAUCCCACCAGCUGGAGACCCCGUUCCGCCUCUGGGGGAAGAGGCUGGGAGGGCAAGGAGAUGGGGCACAGGCGGUCUGGGAGAAACGGAGGCGGGUGAAGAGCCCCAAGUGCCUGGUGACUUAAAGCUGCCACGUGGUAACUCGGUUGGCUUCCCUGUGACUUCCAGGGUCAGUCUGCUGUGAUAAACUUGACCAGCGAGAGCAUUGAUCUAGGAUACGCUUUAUCUUGGAAGUUACAGAAACUUCCAAAGAGCAGCCAGGGGACCGAGGAGCCCCGAGCUGGGCUCUCCGUUGCGCCUGGUAUACACAGUGCUGCCUCCGCUUCUCGGAGUUUAUGAUGUUUAUGAAGAUCCCCAACAGCUGGCUUCAAACCCAGCCCCUCCGAGAACCGUUUCCAGGACUCUGAAGCCCGCAUUUCAGCUUCAGGAACGGCGAGACAGUAAGUUGAAAGAUCUCAUUUUCGUUAUCUUCGCAGGAAUCACCAUAGCUGCCAUUAAUUCAGUGCCUUCCAAGUGCCAGAUGGUGGGUGAGGGAGUUUUCACUUAGUGCGCAGAAAUCUCAAGCUAAACCCGCCAGGUCCUACUCUUCCACCUGCCCGAGUGGAGACGUGGAGCACGAGAGGGGCACUAGGUUGCCCUUGGCUCCCGUUGCUGGAAGGCAAUGGGGCUGGAAUUCGAACGAGGGCGCCCACUUAGCCCAGUUUGCCGGGCGCUUUCCCAGCGUUUUAAGAUGAAAAGCCCUGUGUCCCAGGAACGACCAUGGUCCUGGGCAGCCGGGAGGGUUGGGUAGCCUACUAUGCAGGUGCAUUGGGUUCUUGCUGUAUAGAGCCAUGUAGAUGCUGAGAAGCAUCCUGGGCUCCCCUUUCGGCACCCAGCGGUACGUGGUUGAGCUCCCCCUAGAAGCCCCCUUCAUGAUGUGCUGUGCUCCUCCUUGUCUGUCCCGGAGUGCCAGCUCAGGGCUUGUCCCCUCCCAGCUGUUUCCUGGCCCCUGCAUUGCCUGCUUGCUCUUGCUUUCAGUCCGUCCUCCACCACCAUCUGCCUGGAGCUUCCCCCCAGUCCCCAGUCCAUGGCUGGCUAAAACCAUCUGAAGACUUGGACUUGAGUUACAGCUGAGCCACCUCCUGGCUCUGCCCCAGGGAUCCCUGGAGCCUUUGCUGUCUCAUCCAAGACGGGAUGUCAGCUGUACUCACCCCAAGACACUGCCGUAUAGUUUAACAUAAACGCAGGGUAGGAAGUUGCUCUUGACCCCGAAAGGCAUUGCACACACUGGCUGUUGUUACUGUCACUGUGGUCCUACUUUCCCUGCAUAACCCUGGAGCUCAGUGGCAGCGUGGCCUCUCCAGGCUGGGAAGGUUUGGGUACCUGCUGGCCGGGCUUGUGUGUCUUGGGUUUCUUCUCCACAUUUUGUGGAUUUCAAAUCAGGGUUUUGUGAGUGCCCGAGAAAUUGGUUUGUGAAAGGCGUAGUCUUGUAUCUGGCCCGGCGGUGAGCUGAAAAGGAGAUUGGAACAUUGAGGCCUUCAAGUCAGCCCUCUAGACCCAGGCCUGGGAACACUGGCUCACGGUGUUGUCAAUAAGUAUCCGGGGGCACAAGCGAAUCAGUGCACGAAUGUGACAGAGAACCUGCUGAAUAAGUGAUGGGGAGACAUCAGAAUGGGCGGUGGCUUUGCUUUGUGAGGCCAGGAGUAGUCAGUGCAACAAACAGGUUGAUUUCUUAUAAACGUUUUUUUUUUGUGUGUGUGUGUCUUUUUAGGGCUGCAUCCAUAGCAUAUGGAGGUGCCCUGGCUAGGGGUCGAAUUGGAACUGUAGCUGCCCACCUACACCACAGCCACAGCCAUGCCAGAUCUGAGCCACAUCUGCGACCUACGCCACAGCUCACGGCAACGCCGGAUCCUUAACCCACUGAGCGAGGCCAGGGAUUGAACCUAUGUCCUCAUGGAUGCUAGUCAGAUUCGUUUCCGCAGAGCCAUGACAGGAACUCCUCUCAUAAACCCUUUAAAUCUUUCUAGAACCAGAGGGCUUGUGAAGAAACACAUUAAAUAAGGAGUGUCAUAAUUGUCCUUUUCUUCUCUGCUUUAGUUCUUUUCACUCUAUGCCAUGGUCACAUUCCCGCCGUGACCUCAUUCCUCUUGUCACCAACUAAGCACAGGUAGGAGCUGUGUGUACCAUGUCUCCUUUAGAAGUAUUGAAGUAGGUUAUUUUCCCCUCCUCUCUAGACCAGUCCAGAGCACGGCAUUUUCAGUUAUUUGUGUUAUUUCAUCAUAUAUCACUGGUUACUUCUCAGUGUCCCUGGCUGGUUUCUUUUUUCUGCUCACAUGUCUUAGAUGAGAAAGCCCAGGGCUCCAUGCUUAGGCCCCCUCUCUCUACCCACCUUCCUUCCCUUGGUGGUUGGGCUCCUUCAGUCUUUUGGCUUCAGUUGUUAUUUAUAUCCCAUGACUCUCAAAUUUGUAUUCGACUGCCUACAGGGCAUUCUCACUUAUAUUUUUAUUUUUUUUUUAGGGCUGCACCUGAGACAUAUGCAAGUUCCCAGGCUAGGGGUUGAAUUGGAGCUGCAGCUGCCAGUCUACACCAUGGCCACAGCAACAUGGGAUCUGAACUGUAUCUGUGACCUGUGCUGCAGCUUGCAGCAAUGCAGGAUCCUUAAGACGCUAAGCGAGGCCAGGGAUCGAAUUCUCAUCCUCAUGGACACCACGUCAGGAUCUUAACCCGCUAGGUCAGAACAGGAACUCCUCACUUGCAUUUUUUUUUUUUAUUACUCAAAGGAAUUUAUCACAUCUGUACUCACUUGCGUUUUAAAUAGACAUUUAAACACAACAUGUCCCAAACUGCACUCUGGGGCUGCACCUCGCCUGCCUACCCUGCCCCCCAAACCUGCGUGUCCUGCGGUCGGUCAUUCUCAUCUCCGUUGAGGGCAGCCCCAUCCUUCCCUUCAGGCCACAAACCUUGGGGACAUCUUUGACUCCUCUUUAUCUCUCAUUCCCACUUCAAGUCUUCCAGAAACUCUUCAGUUCAACUUUAAACCACCUUAUUUCCUGGAUACCAAGAUUCAGAUUAUGUCAUUAAAAUUUUUUUUUUUUUUUCUGGCUGUACUGCAGCAUAUGGAAGUUCCCAGGCCAGGGAUUGAAUCCGAGCUGCAGCUGCGACCUACGCCACAGCUGCAGCAAUGCCAGAUCCCUUCACCAGCUGUGCUGGACCAGGGAUGGAAGCUGCUGCCGUUGAUCCCCCCUGUGGGGGACUCAAGUGGCUGCAGUCGGAUUCUUCACCCAGAGUGGGAACUCCGUCUGCUACCUUUUAAUGUCUCCAGAUCAGGAAUGUGUCCCACAACCUGGCAUCUUCAAUUCAAGGAGACAUGGUAGGUCAAGAAUGUGGCCAUUUCACAGCCCUCUGCUGUUAAUACCGGCGUCACCAUCAUUUCUCACUUGCAUGACUCUCACAGCUCCUGGAUUGGUUCCCCUGCCUUGCCUUUGGUAAGAUAUUGUCUGUUCUCAAAUGAUAGCUGGGUGACGCCUUUAAAACAUAAAUUAGAAACCUUCCAAUGACUUUCUGUCUCGUGAAGGAAAAAAGCUGGUGUCCGCCUGGCACCUGGCCGCUCUUUCAUCUGCAUUGCAUUCCUCCUCUAUUCACCCCCCGCCCCGGCUUCUCAGCCACACUAGCUUCACUGCUGUUCCUCCAGAAGUUCAGACAUGCUUCCACCUUUGGGCCUUUGCAGUGAACGUUCCUGCUUCUUAGAGCUCGCUUCCCUCAGUUAUCUGUCUCUUUCAACUCCUUUAUCUCUUUCAAGUUUCGCUCAAACACUGGUUUACCAAUGAGGUUGACUUUGACUCUGUAAUUAAAAUUGCAGCCCAUCUCACACCCACCCCAGAACGUAUCUGCAGUCUCUGCUCUCUUAUUCUCAGAGCACUUUCUAGCAUGCUUCCCAGGGCACUUAUUCAUAACUACCUUCCAUUCCCGGGAGGGAAGCUGCACCAGGGCAAGAAUUAUUCUGUCUGCUUUACUUACUGGUACCAAGCAUGUAGAUGAGGGGCUUCUCCGUAUUUGUUGAAUCAAAUUCAACAAAAGCAGCAGCCAGCAGAGAACCCAAAGUCGAGCCUGCAGCCUUGUCUGAGACCCUGGUGUCGUUUCAGGGAUGACAACAAACAGUUUCGCCUCCCUUUCUUCAAAAUAAGACCCCCAGAGCCGAGGCCGUUCCCGAGAGCGUGGUGGGGAAAGGCUGGGAGAGGUGGCUUGUGGAAAAGAGCAGCGUCGGCAUCUUCGGUACCCUUAGGUGGGUCGGAAGCUGGGUGGCCACGGGUGACUGUCAUUAAUCAUCCUCUUCGCACCACCUCAUGUAAGUGACGGCUUUUGUCUGCACCUCCUGCUUCCAGGGCCAUGAUGUAUGGCCCGGGAAGAGUCUUGGGCACUAAUAGUUGGAAAACCCGGAAAGAUAAAUGCUCAUGUCCUGGGCCUGUGAAGGAGGAGUUAAUCAUGAUCAAGGCUGGAGGGACGUGCAAACCGGCAUUGGCCUUGACCUCCCAAGUCUGGUCGGGCUGUUGUCCCCAUGCAGGGUCCUGGUGACCGUUAUCCUGGCAGAGGAGAUGGCACGUAGGCAUGGCUCUGUGAGAAGUCAUCGCUUGCAAGGCUGUCUGAGACCUCAGCUGGAGAAGAGAACCGAUGAGGACACAGGUGUAAGACAGGCAGUGAGAUUCAGAACACUGCCUCCAGGCAGCGUCUUCCUCCUCGUGUCCCCUCUUUGCCACCUCGACAGAAGGCUCCAGGCGGGAGCGUGUUACAUGGACAGAGAUGAGGACGUGCAUCACGAGUCUCAUUUUGCCGUUUCCCACACUCUCUGGCAAAUUCUUCUUCGUUUUCUCAGUGAUUUGUAAAGUGAGCCUCUCUUGUAGCCGGGCAGAAGUUUAGAUAUCACCAAGGGCUUUAACUCGUAUUAGCUAAUAUGAUCCUCUCAAUGCUGUAAGGUUGGAGAGGGUAUAAUUAUCUCUCUUUUCCAGUUGAAAAAAGCCCCCUAAAAUUCUGAGCACUCGAGCCAUUCGUCAGAGGUCACAAGGCUAGUAAACAUCAAAGAUGAAAUAAAAAAUCAGCUUCUUAUUUCCUGGCCCUUUAAAAUGCCAAGAAUCUCUUAGGCACUCGUAUCGAAUUCGUUGACAUUAAAAUCCAGUAAGCAAUGAUAACCUCCCAAGGAAAGAACACAGAGGAAGGGCCUCAAGACAGGGGGUGCCUGGAGCAGCUGAAUCCUGAGUUAACACGUCUUCAUUCAUUCAUUCAUUCCAAAGGGUGUUUUGAGCACCAGCUUUGUGCUGGGCGCUGUUCUAGGUAUUUGAAUCCUAGGUCCCAUGGCACCUGACUACAGAAACAUCUUUGCGACGUGAGGAAAAGGACCUUUCAAGUCCUGGAAAAUCGGACCACCCCACAUGGGUAUUCACUGUGGUCAGUGCACAAACCCUAGAGCAUCUGUGAUUCCCAGGAAAAAGCCACGCCUUUGUUCCUGCUGUUCCCGCUGCAUGCUGUGCUCCUGCCUCAACUGGAUACUCGUCUACCUCUUCUCCUUGUUGAAGCCUUGUCCCUGGAUUGGACAAGGCUUCCCAAACAUUGUCCCUGGAUGGAAACCGCCUGGACACCUCACUUCUUCCCGGAGAGUUGAUGGUUGUCAGUUCUUUGAACUCUGCAGAUCCCGUCACGCACUUGCAUUUCUUCCUCACGUUGGUUGACGUGUCCGUCUGUCUGUCUCUACCAGCCUCUGAGCCUCUUGAAGGAAGAGAGCAUCCAUUCAGAAAAUUUUGUAGACUGUCCAAAAAAAAAUACAAGCAAUCUGGAGAAACCAUCAGUAACAUUUCCGAGUGUUUCGUUAUAUUAUUGUCUGAUGUAUACUUAAGUAUAUUAUUUUUCAAAAUCCGAGAUCAGAUGGCUUAAUUUUCUCUCUUCUAGCAAAGAUGAAUCCCCCCCCAUACUUUAAUGCUUUUGAAACUGGGACAUAUUUUACAACCCGUAUUCCAUGGUUAUUAACAUCAUAGUGUUUAUCAACACCCAGAUUUGAUACUAAAUGGACGGUGCAUUUUAAAUUUUUACCGUCCCUGCUGUACAGCACGGGGAACUAUGUCCAGUCCCUUGUGAUGGAAUGCAAUGGAAGAUAAUGUGGGAAAAAGAGUGUAUGUAUGUAUGGACGACUGGGUCCCUUUGCUGUACAGUGGAAAUGGAUAGAACACUGUAAACAAACUAUAAUGGAAAAAUAAACUUAAAAAAUAAAUACAGCAAAAAAAAAAA